rnacentral:rRNA from 1 species
AAGYMMKUUGAAAGAACUCUGACGAGAGAGUUAAAAAGUACGUGAAACCAUAUUGAGUAAAACAGAUAACUGUGUUGUUAUGCGGCGUGYCUAUCAACAGCAAUUUUGGCGUUGUGAUGCUAUUMGUAUAGGCUGAUUAUGCAGCUGAUUACGUGUGGUUAGCAUAGUCAGAAAUUCUGUGUAUUAGUGCGCGCYCUAUCAUUGAGAAACUAUGCCAUCAUAACUUCGGUGCACAUCAGUUCGUACUAUGUAUGUAGCUGUGUACUGGGUUUAUUUGAAGGUGUCGUUUUGCUGUAGUGCAGCUGCGGUUGCGUUUACUGAAUAUAGCUGCUUUGUCUGCGAUUUGGUUUAUUCCGAUUUGCGGUGAGUAUGCUGUAGUAGGUAAGUGGCCGUCAUCAAUGAUAAACAUUAGUUAUUUGACCCGUCUUGAAACACGGACCAAGGAGUUCAAAUGGCACGCGAGUCGUUGGGUAUUAAACCCGAAGGCGAAGUGAAAUGCAAACGUAUUGUUAUUUGUGGUUGUUCCAUGAUUAAGCGAUAAGCUACUUGUGCUUUCUGGCACUUGUAGACUAAAAGCGUGAUGUUUGAGACCCGAAAGAUGGUGACCUAUGCCUAGUCAAGAUGAAGCCAGAGGAAACUCUGGUGGAUGUCUGAAGUUAUUCUGACGU